UGGGACCCAGAGCCUGCACCCUGAUUCAUAGAUAUUUCGGUCAGAAGGGACCAUUAUGAUCAUCUAGUCUGACCUCCUGCACAACACAGGCCACAGAAUUUCACCCACCACUCCUGCAGUAAACCUCUCACCUAUGUCUGUGCUAUUGAAGUCCUCAAACCGUG